GAUGCAGGCUGCUCGAGGAUGACCACGUGCGGCUGCUGCUGUGGCUGUGGUUGGGCCACCGGCAGCCGUGCCUGCUGGUCCAGGCUCAGGUAAGUCGGCUCGGCCGCCAUGUGCCGCUCUAUCACCUCCGCUGCUCCGUGCGGAGUCAGCGAUCAAGCCUAUCCGCCGCAGUUCGCAAGGGAGACUCCGCGACGGGAAGGCGCAUUCAGGCGCUGUGUAUGACGCGCUUCGGCUGG
rnacentral:lncRNA from 1 species